GGGGUUGUGGCUCAGUGGUAGAGCGUUUGCCUAGCAUGCCUGAGGCCCUGGGUUCGAUCCUCAACACCA
rnacentral:tRNA from 1 species